GCUCAGAGCGAACGCUGGCGGCAUGUCCUAACACAUGCAAGUCGAACGAACUCUUCGGAGUUAGUGGCGGACGGGUGAGUAACACGUGGGAACGUGCCUUUAGGUUCGGAAUAACUCAGGGAAACUUGUGCUAAUACCGAAUGUGCCCUUCGGGGGAAAGAUUUAUCGCCUUUAGAGCGGCCCGCGUCUGAUUAGCUAGUUGGUGAGGUAAAGGCUCACCAAGGCGACGAUCAGUAGCUGGUCUGAGAGGAUGAUCAGCCACAUUGGGACUGAGACACGGCCCAAACUCCUACGGGAGGCAGCAGUGGGGAAUCUUGCGCAAUGGGCGAAAGCCUGACGCAGCCAUGCCGCGUGAAUGAUGAAGGUCUUAGGAUUGUAAAAUUCUUUCACCGGGGACGAUAAUGACGGUACCCGGAGAAGAAGCCCCGGCUAACUUCGUGCCAGCAGCCGCGGUAAUACGAAGGGGGCUAGCGUUGCUCGGAAUUACUGGGCGUAAAGGGAGCGUAGGCGGACAUUUAAGUCAGGGGUGAAAUCCCGGGGCUCAACCUCGGAAUUGCCUUUGAUACUGGGUGUCUUGAGUAUGAGAGAGGUGUGUGGAACUCCGAGUGUAGAGGUGAAAUUCGUAGAUAUUCGGAAGAACACCAGUGGCGAAGGCGACACACUGGCUCAUUACUGACGCUGAGGCUCGAAAGCGUGGGGAGCAAACAGGAUUAGAUACCCUGGUAGUCCACGCCGUAAACGAUGAUUCUAGUUGUCGGGAUGCAUGCAUUUCGGUGACGCAGCUAACGCAUUAAGCAAUCCGCCUGGACUACUCGCCUGGU
rnacentral:rRNA from 2 species